rnacentral:rRNA from 1 species
UGGUAAUGCCGGAUGCUCCAGUUGACCGCAUGGUCCUCUGGGAAAGCUUUUGCGGUAUGGGAUGGGGUCGCGUCCUAUCAGCUUGAUGGCGGGGUAACGGCCCACCAUGGCUUCGACGGGUAGCCGGCCUGAGAGGGCGACCGGCCACAUUGGGACUGAGAUACGGCCCAGACUCCUACGGGAGGCAGCAGUGGGGAAUAUUGCACAAUGGGCGCAAGCCUGAUGCAGCGACGCCGCGUGCGGGAUGACGGCCUUCGGGUUGUAAACCGCUUUUGACUGGGAGCAAGCCCUUCGGGGUGAGUGUACCUUUCGAAUAAGCACCGGCUAACUACGUGCCAGCAGCCGCGGUAAUACGUAGGGUGCAAGCGUUAUCCGGAAUUAUUGGGCGUAAAGGGCUCGUAGGCGGUUCGUCGCGUCCGGUGUGAAAGUCCAUCGCUUAACGGUGGAUCCGCGCCGGGUACGGGCGGGCUUGAGUGCGGUAGGGGAGACUGGAAUUCCCGGUGUAACGGUGGAAUGUGUAG